AAGUGAGGAAGUUGCGAAGUCGUAAGAUUCCGUAUGUAAAAGUCCAAUGGAGCAACCACGCGGCGCGAGAAGCCACUUGGGAGCUCGAGGAAACCAUGCGGAGAGAGUAUCCGCAUCUAUUCGAAUCGACGAGUUAAGGUAUGUGUAAUUUCGCGGACGAAAUUAUUUUAAGGGGUGAAGAAUGUAAUAUACCGAAAAUUCGGAAAAUAAAAGUCGAACAUUAGUCAAAUUGAUCGAAGUGCGAGGAUGGAACACUUCGGAAAGUCCGAAGGUGUUAAAAUGAGUAAAAGUGAGUUGUGGAGGGUUUUCGAGAGCUAAAGAAUCAAAUUCUGCAAAACUGCAGAUUUUCAGCUCUCGGGGACCGGUCCGUGGUGGGAGAGACCGGUCCCCGAACGCGUAUGAAAUGAGACAGCCGAAAAAUCGGCUAAGUCCUGAGAAAUUAG
rnacentral:lncRNA from 1 species